GGAAGAGUCAGUGACGAAUUUCAUUGAUUGCUGAAGCAUGCUUUGGGUUUGAUGCUGAUUGAUAGCCACUGAAGCCAAUUGAGGUCAGGCUGCAGAGCUCCUGCGUCAGUGGUCCGUGGAAUCCUUGAACUUCUGGCUGGUGAGAAGCAAAAGCUCCAGACUCUUGGAGCCCAGGAGGAUGCUAAAGGAUACUGGUUCUUGCCUGAUGGACGAAAGCCACUGACCAAAGCAGGUUUUGCUGUUCACCGAUUCAAACCUGGGGACUGGGUCCUAAUCCGCUCUUGGAGGGAAGACAAGUUAACUCCGAAUUGGGAUCCUGAUUUUCCAAAUGCUCCUGACUUCAGACACUGCUGUGAGGACCCGUAAACCCGGCUGGACUCAUCACACCCAAGUUAAAGGACCAGUAGAGGCUCCUAAGGAAUGGACUGUAGUUCCUAAGGGAGACUUGAGACUACAACUCAAAACGAAAACUUGUUGAGACAAGCUGAUAUUUUUCUUCUACUGUGACAUUAUUAUGUAUAUCACAUUAUUCUUCUUGUCAUUUGCCCUUCCAGCCCCAGUUCACAACCCAUUCCUAGAGAAAGAUAAUAGCUUCCAGAACCUGAUACAGACAAUUGCUGACAUUUUCUUCAUCCGAGACUGCUGGAUUUGUGGAAGACCUCAACAAUUUGAUCAGUGGCCAUGGGUAGCUGUCCCUCUGAGCCCAGCUUGGCUCUUGAACAAAAGGUUGGAUGUGCACAAUGGAACGGAGUUUUGGUCCAACAAAGAGAAACAUCAAUGGUCCCUAAUUGAGUCUGUCCCUGUCUGAAUCAGACUGGAGAAGGGGAGUGGUUGGGAAAUAGUGAGUGUGAUUGGACUUACUCUGUGGAGACCAAGACAACCCAAUUAGAUUGCACGAAGUAUACACAUAGAUGGAAUCAAACCCAUAUUCAGUGCAACAAUGGUAUAUGGCGUCCUUGCACUAAUUCAGGAUGGGAACUAGAUUAUUGCCAAUUUCCACCAUGCCGAAAUCUGAAUUGGCCUCCAGAUCGAUGUGAAAUCGUUUUACUCGCCGGGGAUGAGCAUGGUCACCCAUGUGGGCCCUGGCAAAUAGCAGAAUGUAUGAGGCGGGAGGAAAAGGGAAUCUCAACCCAACCUUUGUAUCAGUGGGACUGGCAAAAUUCAACCUGGGCUGGAUACUUCACUUCCUUCUGGAGUAUAAAGGAUAGAUCUGAAGCUAACAUUAUGAGCUGUAGUUUUAAAGGAAAACAGCAGUUAUGGAGAUGUCAAUAUAAGGACAAUAUAUGGACUCUUUACUAGAGUGGUCCAUUGGGGGACAAGGACUCUCAGUAUUAUCCUGUAGUAUUCAAUAGGACCAGAAUCUUUGAAUCAGACCACCCUGCAUUGAAGGGGCAUUAUUGGAUCUGUGGUCAAACUGCUUAUACCCACCUACCUCUUAACUGGACUGGUGUGUGUUAUGUUGGAUUAAUCAGGCCGAAGUUUUUCUUUUUACCUGGCACAGGUAGGAAUCAUCUAGGGGUCCAAUUGCAUAUUGAUUUAGAACGAGAGAGACGAAGGAUUGAUACUUCUCUCACUCAAACUGGAGAUGUUAAUGGAUGGGGGGACACAUGGCCUCCUGAGAAGAUAGUUCAAGAAUAUGGACCAGCCACAUGGGCUCAGGAUGGUAGUUGGGGAUAUAGGACUCCUAUGUGUAUAUUAAACAGAUUAAUUCGGCUCCAGGCAGUUUUAGAAAUUGUCACUAAUCAUACUACCAUGGCUUUAGACCUGUUAGCUGAACAGGACACCCAAACCAGAGAAGCCAUUCUACAACAUAAGUUAGUUCUAGAUUAUUUGUUGGCAGAGGAGGUGGAGAUAUGUGUAAAAUUGAAUCUUUCUACUUGUUGCAUGAAAAUUGAUGAUAAUGGAAGAGCUAUAAAGGAAAUUACUAAAAAUAUCAGGAAACUGGCUCAUGUUCCUGUAAAAAUUUAGAACCCCCCAUUUGGUAAUUCAUGGUGGAUUUGGUUCGGUGGCAGCUGGUGGAAGCAAGUAUUAUGGUUUGGACUGAUUGCACUUCGUGGAAUUAUACUGUUACCAAUCUGUCUUCCUUGAUUAAUUUGUCUCAUCACUGGAGUGAUUCAUAAAACCCUAACACGAGUUCUAGGGAACCAGAGCAAGAUGUGUAUGCUAAUGUUACAACAUCAGGGACGGACACCAGUUAAUAAGGAGGAUACUAAUGAUGAAGACAAUGAUAUUCAGAGUAAUGUGUUAUUACAACAAUUUCUACAUGCGAGAUCUUCAAAACAUUAGAAAACAAAAGGGAGGACUGAGUGCAAGUAGCUGAAGUGAAGAUCUCUCACUACCAUUGACUAAACUAGAUCAAGCCUGCAGACCUAAGUUUCGGUUUCUUGAAGAUCUCUCAUAAUCAUUGACUAAAGCAGGCCUAAGUUUGUUUCUUUAAAAUCAUGUUUGGCGGGGAGGAGGAGAGGAGAGAAAGAUUUAUAACCUGUCAACAUUCCAGUUCCUAAUCAUGGAACACAACCUAUAUAACCAAUCAGAAUGUAUGAGGGGUACUGGAGGUGAGUCUGGGCUUUUUCUUGGGGUACUUUGUAUAAAAGUUGCAAGUGGGCACUCGGCGGUGGAUCUUUCCUGGCUCCGAACACAUCCCAUUUGCUCGGAGUUUGGGAUGAUCGUCCGGCUCUUGCG